rnacentral:rRNA from 1 species
UGAGCAAUCUGCCCUUCUCUUCGGAAUAAGCGUUGGAAACGACGUCUAAUGCCGAAUACGACCUCCUUUCGCAUGAUCGGAGGUGGAAAGCUCCGGCGGAGAGGGAUGGGCUCGCGGCCUAUCAGCUUGUUGGUGGGGUAAUGGCCUACCAAGGCGACGACGGGUAGCCGGCCUGAGAGGGCGACCGGCCACACUGGGACUGAGACACGGCCCAGACUCCUACGGGAGGCAGCAGG